ACAGAAAGCGAAUUCGAAUAAGACAGCCCCGGUGGAGCCAUGCUUCUUAUGCAGGUGUUUUCCCUUCUUUGCAGGGUUCUGCCUCAAAAAUCAGAUGUCUUUCCCACCGCCGUCUAGCAUACCCCUUGUCAGUUAAAACGUGCAGGGCUUGAAAGCACGUUAUGGGGGACUUCCCAGUGCAGAAGCGAAGAGAAGAUGCCUGUAACACUGAUGCCAACAGAAGGAGACACCCUUGGUUGGUGCGUACAGGGCCCAGUGACAGACGAAGAGGGACUUUAACCACCAACUCAGCUUAGGAGGAAGCCAAGAAUGAAGGUUUUCUAUCUCUCAGCCUUUUCUCAAUUACUAUGCUUGAGUGUGCCAUCUGCUGUUUUCUGAUGGAUAUGGCAGCGACUGAGUUUUUUGGCUAAAGGCAGGAGAGCAAAACAAAUGUCCGAGGUAGGUGAAAUGAAGCAAAUCUUGGAUGGGGCAUUAGCUGGGCUUGUUACACCUACCCAGGUUGCUCCUGACACCAUUUCUGAUCAUGAGUCCUCAUCAAUGUUAGUAUAUAUCAUAAUCCCAACCUCAGGGACUAUAUACACAGAGAGCACCAAUUUUUUUUUUCUUUUUAUUUAGUUCAGUUUUUAAUUUAGGAUAACUCAAGCAAUAAGGUUCUACCCAGUUUAAUUCUUUUUUUUAAUUGUUUUUUAACGUUUUUAUUUAUUUUUGGGACAGAGAGAGACAGAGCAUGAACGGGGGAGGGGCAGAGAGAGAGGGAAACACAGAAUCGGAAGCAGGCUCCAGGCUCUGAGCCAUCAGCCCAGAGCCUGAUGCGGGGCUCGAACUUACGGACCGCGAGAUUGUGACCUGAGCUGAAGUCGGACGCUUAACUGACUGAGCCACCCAGGCACCCCUACCCAGUUUAAUUCUUAGUUUAAGCAACAUAAAAAGCUCUAAGCAUGGGACUUCAUUCAUAUAUUCAUUCAUUCAUUCAUUCAAAACUAUAGGAGCACUGUAGGUUGUCAUUUUCCAAACAUGAAUAAAUCAGGUCAUGUUUUGUUUUAAAAAUAUUUUGCAACUCUUUCGAUCUGUGUCUCCCUCCAUAAUUCAACUUAUUACUAUCUUAGUUUCCUCUUAAAAUAUAAUUGGUGCUACU